CUCCAACCACUGAGCUACAUUCCGUCAUAUCGUAUUUGAGCUGACAGCUGACUGCACCACCAUGAACAAUGCUAAAAGAGAACCAGAAGCCGGGCAGAGCCUAAAUCCAUUGCAAUAUGCAGUGUUGGCUGCAGUGUUCGGAACGGCAGUUAGAUAUAUCCAGAAACUGAAUGCAAAGGAUAAGGAACAGAUUGAAAAAUAUAAACAACUGAAAAAAAUGUAUGACAGCAAUGAAAAAAAGAGUCAAUUAGAAAGGCAAAAUCAGGCCAAAGAAUUGCUAAAACAUUUUGAACAAUUACUAAUGGUGAGGCAAAGUAUGUUUUGUAGUCCUUUCAUUCACCACCAACAUCGUUUAGAGAUAGAGAAGGAUAUUCUUUCCAAAGCUACUACGGACCCGAUAGCAAAAGAGAUUGGAAUGGAAGAAGACUUGAAAGAGAUUUUUCAACGUGAUAAACAUUGUGCUGAAAAAUGGAACUCCGACGGACGGAAAAACGGCAAAUUAAUGUGGAAUAAGAUCUUGAAAUGGAAGUCUAAAAAAGAUUAAAAGAGCCAAGGCUUCUUUCAAAGAGCAUGUUGGGAAAGAGACCAGAUAUAAAAUCAUAGCGAGUAUUAAAAUUCUUGGUGUCUAUUCCAAUAGAGACUUAGCUGUAGACUUUUGGCUGUUGAUCUUUACAUUGUCCAGAUGUUAGUUUGGUAUUUUAUGCAUAUUUGUUGGUUCAGAUUGGCAAGAGCAAUUGGUAAUAAGGGCAAGCUUGGCUGGUCUAUGAACAACUAUUAGUAGUGAGCUUUCACUGUAACAUCACUAUACAAAAUACUCAGCUUCUUAAGCUUUAACUUUACUCUUCCACUAGGCCCUAAAACAAAUCAGACAAAUUACAGCAUAGAGGGAAGUACUCUUGCCUCCGAGUCAGAUGGUUGUGAGUUCAAGGUCCAUGCUGGAACUUUCAGUUCACAAUCUAGUCUGAUAUUCCAUUACAGUGCUGGGGACGCAGUGCUGGGGACGCACUGCGUUGUUGGAGGUGCCGUUCUUCGGAUGAAACUAAGGUCCCAUC